CCUGGCGGCCAUAGCGCUGUGGUCCCACCCGAUCCCAUCCCGAACUCGGAAGUGAAACGCAGCCGCGCCGAUGGUAGUGUGGCUUGUCCAUGCAAGAGUAGGUCACCGCCAGGG
rnacentral:rRNA from 2 species